UAAAUAGCCAAUCGUUGAAAUUUUGCGCAACAGUUCGCUGCUUCAUUUUUCUGCCAAAGCAACCAUAAAAUUUGUUUUUAAGAUGAAUUUCGGUGAAAUUGAAAUGGUAAAGAAAAUUAUUUUUCUAGUCAUCGUGAUUUUUUGUUUUUCAGAGUGCUUUUUGGUUAUGGUCAGUUCGUCGAAAAAUUUUGAAAACAAUGUCGAUUUUCCUCCAUUACGUUAUUCAUUGGGUGGAGGAAGGAACGAAUGCGCAAAUUCCACUAGAACAUUUGGGAAACGAGAAGAAGGAGAUCGACUAGAAAAUACAAAAGUGAUAAAAAGACCCAUGAUUUUUACCAAGAAAAUCAAUGUGAAUCAAAGAUUGAAUUGCAACAUUACUUCUAUUGAAAUCAAAAAUAAUGUGAAGCCAUGCCGAUGCUUGGAAGAAGAAAAAACAGUUUUCAAUAGUGGCGGACCCGGGUAUAAAUAUUAUAAUUUAACUAUAACAGCAGGAGAGAAAUGCCCUAUUAAACAAAAAAUUCGUUCUUUCACUCGUUGUUAACUUGUAUGUUCAAUUGUUCACGUAUCUUAGCUGAUUUUACAAUAAAUGUUUUAUUGGAAAUGAUUGAUUGGUGGGGUGUUUUUGCAUGCACUUUUGAUCUGAGUUUUUCGACUCAAAUUACACAUAUUCAUACGCACCAAACAUUUUAAAAACAAUAUAAGAAGUAGAUAGGUAGGUAUCCAUACUCAUUUUUACGAACAAUUAAUUGAAAUAUAUAAUUAGGAGACAGUGUGCGAACAUUAGGAACCCACAGUAUGUAUGUAAGUUAUUAAGAGUUACAGGGAGUAGUUCCAAUUCCCAUUUAUCAUCACCGAAGUCAUCACUGCUCCAGAUUAUUCUUACUCGUACGAAUUGAAACCAUCUGUACGGUGAUAAACGUAGCCUACAUGCUUUGUGGGCAGUCAGAAACUAUUUCACUCUAACCGACUACAAAAAAAGUAAGCUGUAGAGUGUUUUUUGGUGAUAGUGAGUUCAUCGAAAGGAGGAACGAAGAAAUGCGCAAAUUCCACUACAACAUUUGGGAAAAGAGAAAAAGGAGAUCAACUAGAAAAUAAAAAAAUGAUAAGAAGACACAUGUCCAACAAAGUAAUCACGGUCAAUGUGAUGAAUCAUACAUUGAAUUGCAACAUUACUUCUAUGAAGAUCAAAAAUAAAGUGAAGCGAUGCAAAUGCGUGGAAGCAGAAAAAACAGUUCUGAAUAGUGGCGGGCCUGGGUAUGAAUAUUAUAAUGUAACUAUAACAUCAGGAAAGAAGUGUCCUAUUAAUCAAGAAAUUCGUUCUUUCACUCUUUGUUAACUUGUAUGUGCACGUAUCUUUGCUGAUUUUACAAUAAAUGUUUUGCUUUCUUAA